rnacentral:lncRNA from 10 species
CAGAGAGCAAGAGGAAGUGAGCAAGGGAGGUCAUUCGCAAUUCUGUCACUCCUAAAUUUGUCUGAACCUUUUUGGAAGGCAUUUGUAUUUCCUGCCAGCACCACCUCUUGGGGGUGAUGAAUUCCAAUAAGUUUCAAUCCGUUUAUUACUCACUGUGAGAGAAAUUGCUUCCUUUUAUGUCUGGAACUAAACCUGGAUCACAUUUCACAGGAUAUCCCCUAGUCACAGAGUUUUGGAAUCUGACCUGGAGGCAAAGGUAUGGAUGAGAUCACAUAGCAAGGAGAUUGCUGCUGAGAAGGAGUCAAAGCCUGGGUUUUACUUGUGGCCUUGCUGCUACACCAACUUUACUGACAUGCCAUUCUGGGAUAGUCUUUUCUCUCUGAGGCUUCAAGAGAAGAUGAGAAUACAUUCCAUCCCUACCUCUUGGAGUCAUUGUGAGGACUCAGAUGAAGUGCAGCAUCACGCAACAGAACUCAGAUGCCCUCACUGCAUCUCAAAUGCACUCAGGCUGCCAUGCUGUGAGCUGCCCUAUGGAGAAGUCCACAUGGCAAGGAACUGAGGGAUACCUUCAGCCAACAGCCAAUGAGGAACUGAUGCUCCCAGAGAACAGCCUGUAGGAAACUAAUUCCUGCUAACAACCUUCAGAUGACUGCAGGUCUGGCUGGCAACUCAACUGAAGCCUGAGAGAGAUCCUGAAGCAGCGGGUGCAGCUAAGCCUCUGCUGGAUUCCCAUUAGACAGAAACUCAUCACCAGUUUUCCAUGAGAGCACCAAGCCUGUGAUUUCAGUAGAAGCUUAACUGCUCGUCUUUGAGGCACCAAAUCUGAAAAGCGAUCUUCCUGAAGACCAUGCUAAGGCAAGAACAUCCAUAUAAGGGAGAAUUCCUGAAAGUGUUCUAACACUUCAGUGGAAACUCAUCAAUGCUCUGUACCCAGAAUAAUCCCAUUUCGGAGGGUGCAUGGAUGGGGCAGAUGCAUGAUGUGCCCUGAGGAGCAGAGGAAACAUGGGCUUGGGUUGUGAAGGAUCUCAGAGAAGCUCUCCUGGACUGGCCCAAAUGUCUCAAACUUUAAUGUGCACAUAAAUCUAUUAAAAUGCAGCUUCCACUUCAACACAUCUGGAGUGAGACCAGGUAUUCUGCAUUUUUAACAAACUCUGGUGUAUGCUGGCGGAUGUCUGGAGUGCUGCUGGUCCAUGGACCGCAUGUUGAGUAGCAAGGCCCU